rnacentral:rRNA from 1 species
AUUGAACGCUGGCGGCAGGCCUAACACAUGCAAGUCGAGCGGUAGAGAGAAGCUUGCUUCUCUUGAGAGCGGCGGACGGGUGAGUAAUGCCUAGGAAUCUGCCUGGUAGUGGGGGAUAACGUUCGGAAACGGACGCUAAUACCGCAUACGUCCUACGGGAGAAAGCAGGGGACCUUCGGGCCUUGCGCUAUCAGAUGAGCCUAGGUCGGAUUAGCUAGUUGGUGAGGUAAUGGCUCACCAAGGCGACGAUCCGUAACUGGUCUGAGAGGAUGAUCAGUCACACUGGAACUGAGACACGGUCCAGACUCCUACGGGUGGCUGCCUGAGACCAAGGCACACAGGGGAUAGG